rnacentral:lncRNA from 1 species
GGCUGGUUACAGUGAUUUAGUUGCAUCGAAAAGAUACAACCAUCCUAUUAGUAUGAGAUGUUGCUAGGUAAUAAUGGGGUUGGGUCCAAUAUUUCAAGCAUGUUGAGGGACCUAAUGAUGGCUUUACCUAUGCAUUGAAUGGUGGGUCUAACUUAACUAAGGAUUGAGCCAAUAUUACAGGCACGUUGAGGCUUCAUGACUUAGAGACCAAUCACUGCAUCAUGCUUGAGAAGCAUUGGACAAUAGUUGUC